rnacentral:rRNA from 1 species
GAUGAACGCUGGCGGCGUGCUUAAUACAUGCAAGUCGAACGGAAAGGCGCGGCUCUUGUGGCUCGCUCGAGUGGCGAACGGGUGAGUAACACGCGAGUAAACUGUCCCUAUCUUUGUGAUAACUUCAGGAAACUGGGGCUAAUACCGCAUAGGAGAUCUUGCUGCACGUGGGGCGUUGGAAAGAGUCGGCGGUUGUGGAUCGACUCGCUGCUUAUCAGCUUGUUUGUGGAGUAGGUGCUGUCAAAGGUUUCGACGGGUAGGCGGCAUGAGAGAGUGACCAGCGACAAUGGGACUAAGAGACGGCGCAGACUGCUACGGGAGGCAGUAGUGGGGAAUCUUACAGAGUGGGCGCAAGCCUGAUGCGGAAGCGCUGCGUGCGGGAAGACGGCCUUCGAGUGAUAAACAGCUUUGGAAUGUGACGAAGAGUGAGUGACGGUAAUGGAUAAGAAAGCACCGGCUAACUACGUG